UUGUCCCUGGGGCUUGCCCUGGGGCAGAGAGAGUACAUAUAGUCUGUGGAGGCCCCAGAAGGAAAGCCAGUAGGGAGGAACUGCUAGAGGGAGGCUCGUGUUUAAAUGCCCAUAAAAGGGAAAAGCUUUCUUGAGUGGUCCUUGAGUGGUGUUGAGCUCCCCGAACUGGAGGUCCUGGGUUCACAGCUGUACUGACUUCCCAAUUGGCAUUCCUGCCUCCAGCCCCACCUCACUCCAGUCCAAUCCCCACAUCAGCUGAGAGAACCUUCCCCAAAGUGACUACAAGAGCAAUUACUGGAAGACCUGGCUAAAAAUUGGUUCUGGACAAGAUAAUACAGCUGCAUCAUAGCUGUUGGAGCAACAACAUGUGAUGCUGAGCAAAUACUUGGUACUUAGAAGGUACUGACUAUAUGGCAUCUACACUGGUGGUGAAAUUAUGAAAUUCUUGUAAUAAUCUCUCACUGUUCAGCUUCUGUGCUGACUGGGUCUUUCCUGUCUCACAAGGAGACACGUCAGAGAUCAGCCUGCAAUGUCCACAAUAGCCAAACUGUGGAAGGAGCCUCGGUGUCCAUCGGAAGAUGAAUGGAUAAAGAAGAUGUGGUUUAUGUAUACAAUGGAAUAUUCCUCAGCCAUUAGAAACGACAAAUACCC